rnacentral:rRNA from 2 species
GGGUUGUGAGGUUAAGCGACUAAGCGUACACGGUGGAUGCCCUGGCAGUCAGAGGCGAUGAAGGACGUGCUAAUCUGCGAUAAGCGCCGGUAAGGUGAUAUGAACCGUUAUAACCGGCGAUUUCCGAAUGGGGAAACCCAGUGUGACUCGUCACACUAUCAUUAACUGAAUCCAUAGGUUAAUGAGGCGAACCGGGGGAACUGAAACAUCUAAGUACCCCGAGGAAAAGAAAUCAACCGAGAUUCCCCCAGUAGCGGCGAGCGAACGGGGAGGAGCCCAGAGCCUGAAUCAGCAUGUGUGUUAGUGGAAGCGUCUGGAAAGGCGCGCGAUACAGGGUGACAGCCCCGUACACAAAAGCGCAUGUGCUGUGAGCUCGAUGAGUAGGGCGGGACACGUGGUAUCCUGUCUGAAUAUGGGGGGACCAUCCUCCAAGGCUAAAUACUCCUGACUGACCGAUAGUGAACCAGUACCGUGAGGGAAAGGCGAAAAGAACCCCGGCGAGGGGAGUGAAAAAGAACCUGAAACCGUGUACGUACAAGCAGUGGGAGCCCCACCACUAAGCCAGUGGUGAACUCCACAUACGCAUCCUUUGCUGAGGAUACGGUUAACGGAGCGAAAGCGACGUUCAACCUCAAAAGAAGCAGAGGGGGCUUAGUGGUGGGGUGACUGCGUACCUUUUGUAUAAUGGGUCAGCGACUUAUAUUCUGUAGCAAGGUUAACCGCAUAGGGGAGCCGUAGGGAAACCGAGUCUUAACCGGGCGUUAAGUUGCAGGGUAUAGACCCGAAACCCGGUGAUCUAGCCAUGGGCAGGUUGAAGGUUGGGUAACACUAACUGGAGGACCGAACCGACUAAUGUUGAAAAAUUAGCGGAUGACCUGUGGCUGGGGGUGAAAGGCCAAUCAAACCGGGAGAUAGCUGGUUCUCCCCGAAAGCUAUUUAGGUAGCGCCUCGUGAACUCAUCUCCGGGGGUAGAGCACUGUUUCGGCUAGGGGGCCAUCCCGGCUUACCAACCCGAUGCAAACUGCGAAUACCGAAGAAUGUUAUCACGGGAGACACACGGCGGGUGCUAACGUCCGUCGUGAAGAGGGAAACAACCCAGACCGCCAGCUAAGGUCCCAAAGUCAUGGUUAAGUGGGAAACGAUGUGGGAAGGCACAGACAGCCAGGAUGUUGGCUUAGAAGCAGCCAUCAUUUAAAGAAAGCGUAAUAGCUCACUGGUCGAGUCGGCCUGCGCGGAAGAUGUAACGGGGCUAAACCAUGCACCGAAGCUGCGGCAGCGACACUAUGUGUUGUUGGGUAGGGGAGCGUUCUGUAAGCCGUUGAAGGUGUCCUGUGAGGGAUGCUGGAGGUAUCAGAAGUGCGAAUGCUGACAUAAGUAACGAUAAUGCGGGUGAAAAACCCGCACGCCGGAAGACCAAGGGUUCCUGUCCAACGUUAAUCGGGGCAGGGUGAGUCGACCCCUAAGGCGAGGCCGAAAGGCGUAGUCGAUGGGAAACAGGUUAAUAUUCCUGUACUUGGUGUUACUGCGAAGGGGGGACGGAGAAGGCUAUGUUGGCCGGGCGACGGUUGUCCCGGUUUAAGCGUGUAGGUGUGUGUUCCAGGUAAAUCCGGUUCACUUUAACACUGAGGCGUGAUGACGAGGCACUACGGUGCUGAAGUGACAAAUGCCCUGCUUCCAGGAAAAGCCUCUAAGCAUCAGGUAACACGAAAUCGUACCCCAAACCGACACAGGUGGUCAGGUAGAGAAUACCAAGGCGCUUGAGAGAACUCGGGUGAAGGAACUAGGCAAAAUGGUGCCGUAACUUCGGGAGAAGGCACGCUGAUAUGUAGGUGAAGCGGUUUACCCGUGGAGCUGAAAUCAGUCGAAGAUACCAGCUGGCUGCAACUGUUUAUUAAAAACACAGCACUGUGCAAACACGAAAGUGGACGUAUACGGUGUGACGCCUGCCCGGUGCCGGAAGGUUAAUUGAUGGGGUUAUCCGUAAGGAGAAGCUCUUGAUCGAAGCCCCGGUAAACGGCGGCCGUAACUAUAACGGUCCUAAGGUAGCGAAAUUCCUUGUCGGGUAAGUUCCGACCUGCACGAAUGGCGUAAUGAUGGCCAGGCUGUCUCCACCCGAGACUCAGUGAAAUUGAACUCGCUGUGAAGAUGCAGUGUACCCGCGGCAAGACGGAAAGACCCCGUGAACCUUUACUAUAGCUUGACACUGAACACUGGUCCUUGAUGUGUAGGAUAGGUGGGAGGCUUUGAAGUGUGGACGCCAGUCUGCAUGGAGCCAUCCUUGAAAUACCACCCUUUAAUGGCUGGUGUUCUAACGUGGGCCCCUAAUCGGGGUUGCGGACAGUGUCUGGUGGGUAGUUUGACUGGGGCGGUCUCCUCCCAAAGAGUAACGGAGGAGCACGAAGGUUAGCUAAUCCUGGUCGGACAUCAGGAGGUUAGUGCAAAGGCAUAAGCUAGCUUGACUGCGAGAGUGACGGCUCGAGCAGGUGCGAAAGCAGGUC